CCUAAGGCAGCCAAACCCCUCUCUGUCAUUCUUGCAAAAACAGUACUCUCGCACUCUCCUUCUCCCUAAGAGGCUCUGCUAGGGUUUAGCUCCAAUCUUGGUUAAGUAGCUCAACCUCAUUUCUUGCUCCAUCUAUAAUCGUGAGUUGCUGUGCUUGACUAUUGGGUGUCGAAGUCCUUGCUAGCUUAUUUCCAGGUGGCCAAAGAAGAAUUAUCACGUGAGUGUGGUUAUAGGUUGGAGGCAACGAAUCAAAAGCUGUACCAAGAUCUUCUUGAUGGGGUCGAGGAAUUUUAUGUUCCAACAAUUGUGGAUGCUAUUUAAAGUAGAAGAGUAUUAACUCUUGAGCUUGUUUAUGGUAAUUAUAAGAACUUUAACCACUUAUUUUUUAUGCAUUUUUCUAUACAUCUUUACAUGCAGUUUUCUGGUACCAUAACUUGCAUAGCCUGUUUACACACUUAAGUGAUGUAAAAGAAUAAAAACAUUUGUGGUGUUCGAUGCAGCUGUAUAUCCUGUUUAGAUGACAAUGCUCUCAACAUAUAUGUAGUAAUUAUAUGUGUGGAAUUUAUAGUUUUCCAUAUUGGAUAGCAGAUUUUCCCUGUAGAUACUCCUAUUUUAUCUCACAUAAUCUAAUUUGGUAGCCAUUUACUCAAAAAAAAAUUGUAAUUCAUUAAAA